rnacentral:rRNA from 1 species
UACGAAGGGGGCUAGCGUUGUUCGGAUUUACUGGGCGUAAAGCGCACGUAGGCGGAUCUUUAAGUCAGGGGGGAAAUCCCGAGGCUCAACCUCGGAACUGCCUUUGAUACUGGGGAUCUCGAGUCCGGGAGAGGUGAGUGGAACUGCGAGUGUAGAGGUGAAAUUCGUAGAUAUUCGCAAGAACACCAGUGGCGAAGGCGGCUCACUGGCCCGGUACUGACGCUGAGGUGCGAAAGCGUGGGGAGCAAACAGG